AUCCUUGUUCUCUGAUAAGUGGAUCACUAGAAAGAGAGAGAGGGCAUGUUCUCAGCUUCCUCUCACCUCGUCCUUUAACUCACACUCCAUCUACAAGCCUGGCCACAGGGCCCAGAGCUGCCCUCCCAACUGAGAGUGACAGAAAGUCUUUUGUCUUCAAAUAGGAGCCAGGAUAAGAGUUGACAGCGGCGGAGAGUAAAGUGGUCCUUAGAAGAGGCAUAAUGAAUGGGAGGCAACCUGAUGGGUGGAAAGAGGCAAAGAAUGGAGACUGAUUCUGGUAACUCUACAUUAAAAUUCUGCGAAUGUUUUCUGCCAUAUUCACUGAAGGAAGAUAUUCAUCUGAGCAGAAAAAUAACAGAUCAUUGCAGUUGUGAAUCUUGUCAAAGGACAAAUGAAAAUAUGUUCAUUUUGGAUAAGAGAUGAGUUACAAAGUGCCUGCUUUUAUUAAAUGUCGUGGGAUCAGGCCAGACCCUGGGGCUGAGUGUUUGGGGCUCUUCUUGCUCUGCUUCAGCAGCCCAGGGUUUGCUGUUCGGAUCCUGGGCACAGACCUCUACUCAUCGGCCAUGCUGUGGAGGCAACCCACCUACAAAACAGAGGAAGACUGGCAUAGAUGUUAUCUCAUGGCUAACCUUCCUCAAGCAAAAAAAAAAAAAAAAAUAUCAUGGGAAAAAAUUAAAUAUCAAUCAGAUUAACAUUAACUGAAAGUUCA
rnacentral:lncRNA from 1 species